UACGGAGGGUGCAAGCGUUAUCCGGAUUCACUGGGUUUAAAGGGUGCGUAGGCGGAUAGGGAAGUCCGUGGUGAAAUCCUGCAGCUUAACUGCAGAACUGCCGUGGAUACUAUCUAUCUUGAAUGUCGUGGAGGUUAGCAGAAUAUGUCAUGUAGUGGUGAAAAUGCUUAGAUAUGACAUAGAAUACCCCAUUGCGAAGGCAGCUAACUACGCGAUGAUUGACGCUGAUGCACGAAAAGCGUGGGGGAUCAAACAGG
rnacentral:rRNA from 1 species